CAUUCCUUCCCUGUGGACACCGCCGACUCGCGUUUUGGGGGUGGGAUGGGAGACAGUAGGCGCAAGGCCGCCAGCAAGAUAGGCUCUUCCCAGCCAAACGUGCACGUCUCAGGCCGAAAUGCCUGGGGCUCUUCCUGCAGCACCGGUGCGGCCAACCCUCGCUUCCCCAGGGCAGGGCUCAGCUCAGGUCAAUGCAACCAGCCCAGUCAGGCCGGGAGCGGGCCGCCUCGGCCCGCCAGUCCACGGCAACCUCUGGACCCCCGCCAGCGGGGAUGGGCGUGGGCCCCAGCGGCCACCGCCCCGCCAACUCGAGCUCAGGAGGAGAGAGUGAGCCCCACCCGCUACGCCAGCCCCGGACCUACCUGGAGGGGAAAGGAGAGCUCCUGGACAGCGGCCACCGGCCCGAGGGCGGGCGCCUAGGCGGCCGGAGCCCGUCCCAGCAACCCCAAGUAUCCCUGGUGGGGCACAGCGGUAGAGACGCCAGAGGGCUGCCGCGGGCCAGUGUAGCCCGUCGCGGGGGUCGCGAGGACCUGACUCUCCCCUUAACACCAGGCCACCGCCGCCGCCGCCAUUUUGCCUUCCACUCAAUGUCGCCGCCGCCGCACUCCGUUGCAGGUUUCCCGGAUGUGGGCAUUUCCCGGCGUCGCUUGCGCGGAGGCCGAAGACUGGGGGCUUCUGCCCGCCCGGUAGCAGCUAGGGAGCGCGCUACCUGUGGCCCCUGGGCCUGGUUGCGUCGCCCGCCGCUCAGAGCCUUCGUGAGCGUCGCCCCACGUCGCUCCCGCCUGCCCCUGCCCAGAAGACUCGCCCGCGGCCAUGGGUUAAGGCUCUCUCCUGCCCAGCUCACUCGGUUGAUUCAAUUCUUUUUCCCAUUGAUCUCUUUGGACCGAGCAGGGAUGCGCAUUUUACGGAGCUUCGUUCUCGGAAGGGAACAACUGUGAGUUGCUCUGGGAAACCUCGCUGUGGACCUCAAAUUCGAGUUUUGGCGCUUUGAAAUAAAAUUUUCUUCUUGCUUAGCGUUCUUUCCCCGAACAAGUCCAUGAGCUUCCAGCAUCUGUAUUUUCUGAAUCAGCCAGAUAAGAAGUUUUUGAGCCAGGACCGAUUGAUUAGCAGAGUUUAGAGAUCUUACCUGUCAGCUGCAUCCGUAGGAGGUCGUUAUUGCCAUAAUUGGAAUAACGGUGACGGUGUGACAAGAGGUUUUACUUCUUGUAAAGUUGAAUGGAAAAUCUGGGAUGGGAUCAUUGGGUUUGAUGUGUAAGGCACUGUCCACACUUUGUGAAGAAUGCCUUUGCCAGUGUUUUCAAGUACCUUCUUUUGUAAUUUUUCUACUAUAGACUACAAAAAAAUUAAAGACGUCUUUUUCUGAUGUUAAA